CGUUGAAACACAGGUUCCCGUAUGAUCACCGAAGUUAAGCAAUGUUGAUCCUAGUCAGUACCUAAAUGGGUGAACACUUGGGAAUACCAGGUGCUGUAA
rnacentral:rRNA from 1 species